GCCAGGCACCUGGCCCGGAGCUUCUGCCUGCCGCUGAGACCGCUGCCGGCUCCUCGAGGUCUGCAGGGGGGUCGACGACACUCAGUGGCGCACGCGACUGGGACGGUCUGAGGACCAGCCCAGGCGAGGCGAGGGCAGCUGGACGCUCUGUUCCCCUCUGAAGUCUGAAGCUCAGUUUUGACUUCGCCAGGGCUUUAGCUCAUGGUGACAACUACAAGAAUAUAAUGCCACGUGGAAAGCCGAAGUACACGGGCCAGAUUCCACGCCGGUUCCGGUUUCUAUCUGCUUUUUACGACGCCACUAUCUUUUCACCAGACCUUUGUAUCUGAUGAGCCCCAGGGCACACAACUUAGGGAUACUUGUGCCCAGUGAUGUGGCUUCUUAUUCUUGAUUUCCGAGUAAUAACUACCGCGUGACUUCUGGCUUGCUCGGGAAGACCAGGGAAAAAAGCAAUAGGCAACAACAUUUUUUUUUUUUUUAAAGAAACAGAUUAUUAGCCGAGGAGAAACCAAUUUCUGCGCUAUGAGGCAAAUAAAGGAUAAGUAACCAAAUGCUGGGUGGGGGCGGGGGAGUAGCUUGCAUAAAUGGAAACAUAAGGAACAAAAUUGAGCAGCGACCAGUUCUGCCUGGCUGCACAGAAAUGCACUCCCACAGUACAGUCUCUGUUGGUCGAACAUAACCAGCAAGUUCCCAGCAAUUUAAAUCCCUUUCAAGGACUUCAGCAGAAUCCAUUGGAGGCCCAAGAGAGUCUGGGAACAGUGUUGGAGUUCUUACUAGAAUGACAGUUCUCACCAUCCUUGGGUAAAAACCCACCAUUCAGCUCAGAAGUAGCCUGUUUUUAUUUGGUUUACUGGUUCUCCGGGUAGGUGGGGGUUUUGCUUACAUAAGGGACACUGAUGCCAUGGUCUGGCAUAGUGAUCCAUUACUAUGGAUUUUUCCCUUAGUGCCAUUUCUUUAUUUCUACUGAUCAUUUAGCUAUGUGAUCUUCCUAAAUCAUGUUCACACAACUCUUACCAGAUGUCUAAUCAACAAAAAUAAAGUACCAGGUGGGUGGAGGCAGUGGUAGACCUCAGCUUGGAUCUUAGCAAAGAUAUUUUUUACUACACGAAGUCAUCAGAGUUUGAGACACUUUCCUGUGAACAUCAGAAAGAUACUUACUUGAAUCUAAAGAGUUGAACUCUGGAAGACCAUUGAUUUACUACCUACUCAAGAUACAAGAGGCAACUAUCUGUCCUUGGGAUUGGGCUGUAAAAAAAGAUGCAGCUAUGCUGUUACAAGUAUCAAAUGAGAAAAUAACGAAGAUCCGUUCCGUAUUGCUGGAGUCUCCACGGAAGGUUGGAAACAAACUGAGCGACGGUCAAGUCUGUUUGUCUCGAAAGUCAGUGAUGGCCUUCCACAGCGUGCAGAGUAUUCCUCCCCUGGUUAGAGACACAAGGACAUGAUGAAGACGACACCCUAUUUGGAAGACUGCCCUUGAUACAGAAUAGUGAUUCUUAGCCUCUAGCUGUUCUGAUCAGAACAUGAAGAUCCAAAGUCUUCCCAGUCAUCGUGUAUUCUUUUUGUACCUAUUUUUUCGUCAGCCCUACGUGCCUUUCCUUUCCGCCUCCACAAACUAGCAGGUCCUAAAGCAUCAUUUUAUUUUAAAAAUUUUUCAAUGUUUAUUUUUGAGAGAGAGAGAGAGCGAGAGCUGGGGAGGGGCAGAGAGAGAGAGGGAGACACAGAAUCUGAAGCAGGCUCCAGUCUCCAAGCUGUCAGCACAGAGCCCACUGUAGGGCUUGAACCUACGAGCCGUUCAUGACCUGAGCUAAAGUGAGACACUGAACCGACUGAGCCACCCAGGCGCCCCAUCCCAAAGCAUCAUUUUAGAUUUCUAGCAGUCCUGGAAUGCGUCUUUACACAUAUGCUUGGCCUGACAGAAAAAACUAUCUUAAGAAACCCUAUCAGGUUAUACAGGGCAUGUGGAUGGCAAAUCAGCACCUAUCCUAAUAUUUCUAAUAGGUAUGGCACAAUCACGAACUAAAUUAGAGCAUUUGUGAAAAGCAGCUUUAAAAGAACCUCAUGGUCUCAGUCUGCUGUAUUAUCAAGAAAUUCUUUUAGUUGACUUCCAUUUACUAAUACAGAAAUACUGGUUAUAAGAGUGCCCAGUAAGAGCCUGGUCCAAUGGACACAGUUUACCCGGAGCAGGUGAGAACCGGAGAGCGGAGCUCAAGUUCCCUCAGCUGGUUAGAGCUGGCGAGGGGCCCAGCAGGGACAGGAGCCCAGACUUCCCUGCCCAGGGCACUUUCUCCAUUAUGAAAAAAGAAUAGAGAAGUGGUACCUUAGUCUCAGGCAUUUUAAAUCAUCACGUGUAACAUAGUAGAGAACAUCCUCUAGUGAAUAAUCCUCAGCCAGAAACUGUGGAGAAGGUAGAAUAUGCACAAAUGUCAGAUGUUUUGCACCCCAAUAUAGACAUUGGCAAUCAUUUAAAAGUAAACCUAAAAGGGAAUCUACUAAAAAACAUAAUCUUCUGGAAUUAUUAGGGAAAAGUACUGCCCCCACCCCGUUAUAAAAUAAUUACAAAGAAAUACAUCAGUAUGACUUCCGAGUGCGUAAAGAUGAAAUGCAACACAAUUUUGGAAUGGCCUUUUAAUGAGUAGAUAAAACUCAUUUGUAAUUACAUCUGCUGCUUAUAAGAGAAGGUUUGUAUUUUAGAGGUUUGUUGCUGUGUUUAUUUUUCUCAAGUGGAUAAAAAGUGUUCCUGGAAAGGUAUUGUUUAUACUUAAUUUCUGAACUUAUUUUUCACAGCUAAUAAAAGGUAUUUUCUAAUAAUUACUAUAUAAUCAGAGUCCUGAAUUUAAACUGAAGCUUUAAUUUUUAAUUUAAAAAGGUGGGCAAUGAUUUAGUGGAUCAUCAGUUACUAUUCCUUAAUUGUGAUUUGAGUUUUAGCUCCAGGAAUAAAUAUUUUGGACAACUUGAAUGGACGCAUGAUUCCCCAGAAGCAAGAGAAUUAUUUAAAUUUAUUUAGCAGUAGCUUGUUCAAUGCAGAUUUCCAAGGAAACUCUAAAUUUUAUCUGGUAAAUCAAUAACUUAUCAAGUAAAGAGAAAAGAUAUCUUUAUUCUUAGUUAUUUAAAAAAAUUAAAUAGAAAGCUAAAGUUUUAAUGUAAUAUUGUAUUGGGGCCCUUUCUAUAAAAAAAUAUAACUUCUUAUUGUGUGUAUGUGCAUAUACGUGUAUGUCUGUGUGUAUGUGUAUAUACAUGUAUGUAAUCUUAAAAUGUAAGCGCUAUUCAUGCUGAUUACCAAAGUCUGUAAGGAGCAGACGGGAAUUAGGUUAUUAUAGAUAUAAUAUGGUUUAAAUUUUUUUUUUCAACGUUUAUUUAUUUUUGGGACAGAGAGAGACAGAGCAUGAACGGGGGAGGGGCAGAGAGAGAGGGAGACACAGAAUCGGAAACAGGCUCCAGGCUCUGAGCCAUCAGCUCAGAGCCUGACGCGGGGCUCGAACUCACGGACCGCGAGAUCGUGACCUGGCUGAAGUCGGACGCUUAACCGACUGCGCCACCCAGGCGCCCCUAGAUAUAAUAUGGUUUAGAGGGAAAGUGUUUGUUCCUGACACAGGUUGACUGCCUAGAUUUAUUUUAUUAAGCAUCAAUAUAGAGCUACUGCCCGGCAGAGUCUAACAAUGUUGCAAGAGAAUUAAAAAGUUAAACAAAAGAGAGAAUUAGAAACUUGAA